GUCUAUGGCCAUGCUACCCUGAACAAGCCUGAUCCUAUCUGAUCUCAGAAGUUAAGCAGGGUCGGGCCUGGUUAGUACUUGGAUGGGAGACCACCUAGGAAGACCAGGUGCUGUAGGCA
rnacentral:rRNA from 1 species